rnacentral:rRNA from 1 species
AUGCGCAUCCUCGAAAAGGGCGGCGAGCUGGCGUGGAAGGCCAGCGACAAGCCGCGCGCCGCGCAACACUGCGGCAUGCCCGGUUCUCCUGGCUUGGCACCGGCAAUGCCGCCCUUCGCCGGUCCGAUCGGAAAGGGGAGCAGCAGGUUGCCAUUCGGGCAAGAUGAAGGAGGCAUCGACGGCAACAGCUACGGUUCCGUCGGAGGAGUUGCACAACCCGAGCUGCCGUUGGCGCCGGGUGGCGUUGGUGGGCAGGGGCAAGCUGUGGAGAGCGUGGGGGAGACUAUGGGCUUCGGUAGCCAGCCAUUGGUGGACAAUAGCCCAUACGACAGCGGUGCACCGGAGCGUCCAUGGACUGGAGUUGCUAAUUUGGGUCUCAGCGUUGCAAUUGCCAUUGCCCAGACCCUGGGUCUCUGA